rnacentral:lncRNA from 1 species
CAACAGUUGCAGGAAUCAAUGCAGUGUCCGGUAGGACUGGGGCAGCACUGGCUCCUCUGUUGAUGACCUUAAUGGCGUAUUCUCCCCACCUGCCCUGGAUUUCCUAUGGAGUCUUCCCCAUCCUUGCUGUCCCUGUUAUCCUCCUCCUUCCAGAAACCAGGGAUCUACCUCUUCCUAACACCAUCCAGGAUGUGGAAAAUGAAAAAGAUUCAAGAAACGUAAAGCAGGAAGAUACUUGCAUGAAAGUAACACAGUUUUAAGAGAUUCCCAAGACCUGAUCCAAAGAAGAGCAAAAUGGGCAGGGGGAAUCAAGAUUAUGCCUUUAUAUCUGCAAAACUAGCCAAAAAUAUAAUGUGCAGACAGGUGCCAUUUAUAAUUAUGGUACUACAUGUAUCAGUAAUUCCAAAAUACCUUAUAAGUUUAAGUGAUUCCAUGAAAUAAUGAUUUGCUUUUGGGAAGAAGUUGCACAACUAGUUUCAAAUUCAUCUGAAAAUCACUAACAGCCAAGAUGAUUCCGGAAAAAGAGCAUCAUGGAGUGACGAUCAGGCUGACUCAUAUACGGUAAAGCACAUGCUGGACUUUUUAUAAAACUAUAAUCA